GGAACACUCUGUUCUUAAGGGUUUAGCCUGGUGAAAAGAAGAUACGGUAAUAAAUCAAGGCUAAAAUAUCAUAUGUUUAAUGCAAUGAAAUGUAUGGAGAGAAGUAAAGGGCCACGUGAGGAAAGAGUAAAUGCUCUCUGCAUGAGUGGAAAGUUUCAUCAAGAAGUUGUGCUUGCUCAUAGGAACCAAGGCAGAGCAUUGCCAGAUGGCCACACCCCAGAACCAGUCCAAACCAGAAAGGUCCAAGAUGGCAAUGGAGUGCUGUGCACAAAAGGAAACGUGCAAAAGGUGCCGUGUGCAGCAAGGGAAGAUCUGUGCAUGCCCCAAAUGCCCUGCCCCAGUGAUGACAUGGAGACCCCUUACCCUUCAUAUCCCAUAAUAACUCUGCUCACCUGCCCUUCAGGGAGAGGGUGUUUUAGAGCAUGAGCUCUGCCUCCUCCAUUCAUUGAUCAAUGCAUAA
rnacentral:lncRNA from 1 species